UAGUCCACGCCGUAAACGAUGUCAACUAGCCGUUAGAUUUAUCUAGUGGCGCAGCUAACGCGAUAAGUUGACCGCCUGGGGAGUACGCGCGCAAGCGUAAAACUCAAAGGAAUUGACGGGGCCCGCACAAGCGGUGGAGCAUGUGGUUUAAUUCGAUGCAACGCGAAGAACCUUACCAGGCCUUGACAUCCUGAGAACUUUCUAGAGAUAGAUUGGUGCCUUCGGGAAUUCAGUGACAGGUGCUGCAUGGCUGUCGUCAGCUCGUGUCGUGAGAUGUUGGGUUAAGUCCCGCAACGAGCGUAACCCUUGUCCUUAGUUGCCAGCACGUUAUGGUGGGAACUCUAAGGAGACUGCCGGUGACAAACCGGGAGGAAGGGUGGGGAUGACGUCAAGUCAGCAUGCCCCUUACGUUCUGGGGCUACACACGUACUACAAUGGGUUGGGGAC
rnacentral:rRNA from 1 species